UACGUAGGGGGCUAGCGUUGUCCGGAAUCAUUGGGCGUAAAGAGCGUGUAGGCGGUCCGGUAAGUCCGCUGUGAAAGUCGGGGGCUCAACCCUCGAAUGCCGGUGGAUACUGUCGGACUUGAGUCCGGGAGAGGGUAGUGGAAUUCCCAAUGUAGCGGUGAAAUGCGUAGAUAUUGGGAGGAACACCAGUGGCGAAGGCGGCUACCUGGACCGGAACUGACGCUGAUGCGCGAAAGCGUGGGUAGCAAACAGG
rnacentral:rRNA from 1 species